AUUGCGCCUUAGCUGGUGUACCAAAUCAGUAAUUUUCUCACCGACCGAGGGUAUUUUCAAAAUUGUAAGUCAUUAAAUCCAACUUCUCGUUCCCCUCCCUCUCCCGGUGAGAAUAGCGUGGCAUCGGAGAGAGAAAGUCGGAGACAGAGGCAUCGGACGGUGGAGAUGCUGGCGGUAUUCGAUCGGUCGGUGGCGAAGAGCCCGGAGGGUCUGCGGAGCCCGGCGGCAGAGGAUGGUGGUGGGGGUGGGGUGCGCCCUUUACUGGAGCACUUCGCGGCGGCGCAUGAGGGAGCGGUGACCAUACACCUUGGUUCCUCUGCCGGCGCUUUGGCCUUCUCCGAUGAGAAGCAGAACCCCUUCCUCCCGAGAAAUAGUUGAGGCUUACUCUGCGAGUUAAGGAGACGGGAUCAAAUGUUGACAGUUUUGCUUCUGGGAAAACUCAGCGAAGAUCUUGAUUUUUUUUUUUGGAAUUUUUGCAAGCAAGCCUCUUGCAUAUUUUUGUGUGCUUAUGUGUUCCAACUGGUUUUUUUUUUUUCUUUGAGACUUGUUUGGAAAACCGAAACAGUUGUGGUUUCGCCCAAAAUGGGCAAUAUAUGAGAAAUUUUUAGAAGAAUAAGAAUGACAGAAGGAGUUUUAAGACA